GCCCGCCUAGCUCAAUCGGAUAGAGCGUCAGACUUUUACGGUCUAGGCAACUGGGCAAUCUGAAGGCUGCGAGUUCGACCCUCGCGGUGGGCU
rnacentral:tRNA from 1 species